CAUGCCGUAAACGGUGGGAACUAGGUGUGGGGUCCAUUCCACGGAUUCUGCGCCGAAGCUAACGCAUUAAGUUCCCCGCCUGGGGAGUACGGCCGCAAGGCUAAAACUCAAAGGAAUUGACGGGGGCCCGCACAAGCGGCGGAGCAUGCGGAUUAAUUCGAUGCAACGCGAAGAACCUUACCAAGGCUUGACAUAUAUUCGAAGCUAUUAGAGAUAGUAGUGCCUUUUGGGCGGAUAUACAGGUGGUGCAUGGUUGUCGUCAGCUCGUGUCGUGAGAUGUUGGGUUAAGUCCCGCAACGAGCGCAACCCUUGUUCUAUGUUGCCAGCACGUUAUGGUGGGGACUCAUAGGAGACUGCCGGGGUCAACUCG
rnacentral:rRNA from 1 species